CGGAUCCGACGGUGGGCUGCUUCUGGAGCUUGCGAUUCCGCCGGAGAAUACGUCGGUGUCAAUUUCUGCGGCUGAGGCUGGCUGCUUUCUGGUGCCGGAGCUACUGCUACUGCUUUGGAAACUGCCCACACAAAUGAAAGAUCAAUUAUAAUCAUGCACAUGGAGGUUACCUUGUGGGCUUAGAGGAGAAGCAGCUGCAGUAGGAGAUGGUGCAGCUGGUCCAAGUGAGACAGGCAAGUUAGUAAUGUUACAAGAACUUGGAAGAAUGAGCGCAAGGGCCGCAUUGAUGGGCAGAGGAACAGGCACAUUAGCAGUAAGUAAAAGGCAGACACAGUCCAUGCUUAUCCCCGACAGCGAACUCAGUGUGGUGCAGCAACUUUCCUUUUGUGAAGAACCAUUGCUGCUACUUCCAGUGAUGACAUUGAAACAUGGGGUGAAAUUGUUGAUCAUUGAGGCCGUGCAAGGCGAACGAAUCUGCCCUUCAACUGAACAACUCCUCAAGAUAGUUGCUGCAACUGAGAUGAACGCUAAGGCCUUCAAAAUCGCCAUUGAAAUGAACAGAGAAUUUCAAGAGAAUUUGCAGUCCUGCCAUCUUUCAAUGGGAGGUUUGUGUAGUUUAUGUAAGUUUGGGGAAUUUGAAGGGUCAGUCUGGUAGAUUUGAAUGUUGGGUUUUGGGGUUCAACCAACUUCAAUGAACCAAGUUAUACUUCACCAUUGUAAGGUCAAUAGUUUGGAGCUUCCAUUGGGUGGGUUUGGCACGUUGGUUACACCAAUAAACCCUUUGUAUAUAAAUGAAUUUUUCGGGAGCUCGACUUUCGAACUGUAUGAUGUCAUGAUUUACACACAAUCAUGACUAACCUUUUAGAGAACUUAAGUUCGGUAUACUUUUUAGUU